rnacentral:sRNA from 1 species
AUAUUCUGCCCAUGGGGAAGGAUGAGAAGCUUCGACUAAGGACUCGACCAGCGAGAGAGAACGUUACCGCAGGCAACGGCCCGAAGAAGCGAGGCGCUUUAGCGCCGAGUAAUCCUUCCCCACCACCA